rnacentral:rRNA from 1 species
UACGUAGGGGGCGAGCGUUGUCCGGAUUUAUUGGGCGUAAAGAGCUCGUAGGCGGUUGGGUAAGUCGGGUGUGAAAACUCAGGGCUCAACUCUGAGACGCCACUCGAUACUGCCCUGACUCGAGUCCGGAAGAGGAGAGUGGAAUUCCUGGUGUAGCGGUGAAAUGCGCAGAUAUCAGGAAGAACACCCGUGGCGAAGGCGGCUCUCUGGGACGGUACUGACGCUGAGACGCGAAAGCAUGGGGAGCGAACAGG